UACGGAGGGUGCAAACGUUGCUCGGAAUCAUUGGGCGUAAAGCGCACGUAGGCGGCUCGUUAAGUCGGAUGUGAAAGCCCUCGGCUCAACCGAGGAAGUGCAUACGAAACUGGCGAGCUUGAAUAUGGAAGAGGGUCGCGGAAUUCCCGGUGUAGAGGUGAAAUUCGUAGAUAUCGGGAGGAACACCAGUGGCGAAGGCGGCGACCUGGGCCAAUAUUGACGCUGAGGUGCGAAAGCGUGGGGAGCAACAGG
rnacentral:rRNA from 1 species